AAAAGUUUAAAAUUUAAAGAAAUUCUUGAGAAAAAAAUGUUAAUCGUAAUAAAUUUCGUUCGUAAAUUGCUACGUAUGAAAUGUCGAUUCUAGAAUUCGAAAAAUGCAAAUUUUGGUAAGUUCGAAAUAAUCUUAAGUGAAAGAAUAAUUAUAAUUUCCUCAAAUUGGUAAAUUUCUAUUUCCAAUUACUUUUUCAACAUUUUUUUCAUAAUUUUAAAUUUUUAUAAAUGAAACUCAUAAAUAUGCAUUCAUGUUUCAGGUACAUUAGAUACAUCUAAUAAAUUUAUAUUUAAUUGAACAUUGUAUAUAUUUCAUAUUUGAAAUAUGAUAGAAAUUCAGUUUUACGAUAUUUGAACAGAAGAUAGAAAUAUUAAAAAAUAGAGCAUAGUUGAUAUACAAUCCAAAAUGAUUUGCCAAAUAAAAUUCCUCAGUUUGAGAAAGUAAUUCUUCUUUACUUUCAAAAUAAAUAAUUGUAAGAAACACAGGAGAGGUUUGUUCAAGAUUUAUUCUUGAAGAAACGAAGAUACAAGUAAGUAUUGUAUUGUUUCAUGACAAGAAACGCAGGGAAGAAUGAAUAUUUGUAGUGCGAUAAAGAGAGAAAGACAAAGGAAGAAAUCAUAAAAGAAGAAGAAAAUACCGCGCGAAUCUCCAUUUUCCUCUUUUCAUUAAUACGAAAAAAUCUCUUGAUCUGUGUGCCACGAUUCGAGAGUAAAGGAAAAAAAGAAAAGGAAGAAAAAAAAACGAAAAAUGGAAUAGACGAAGAAGCGAGAAAUCGAUUUGACUUUUCCGGCACAUCUGUUUUCAGAAUUUGCAUGCGAAUUCUUGGCCAAAGAUUUAAAAGAAACAAGCAUUCUCCGCAAAAGAAGAAAGUGUGAAGUUCGAGUUCCCUGGCCACACGUGUCAAUUGAAUGUUUUCCAGUCUGAGAAUUACAAACGUGAAAGAUGGAAACUCGAAAAGAGAGUUCAAUAUGUAUAUUUAUCUAUUAUCGAUGAAAAUCAAUAGAAAAAUAUGCUCGAAGAGUUGGAGAAGAAGAAGGAAAAACCGAGCGUGAUUCUCUCUUUUUAUGGUAUUGAACAGAGAACGUAAAAUUUCCAUGCAAAUUCUUAUUCUGGUAUUUACGAGAGGAAGACAUUGCGGCCGGAAAUAAAAA